AGUGAACGCUGGCGGUAGGCCUAACACAUGCAAGUCGAACGGCAGCACAGUAAGAGCUUGCUCUUACGGGUGGCGAGUGGCGGACGGGUGAGGAAUACAUCGGAAUCUACUUUUUCGUGGGGGAUAACGUAGGGAAACUUACGCUAAUACCGCAUACGACCUACGGUAGAAAGCAGGGGAUCUUCGGACCUUGCUCGAUUGAAUGAGCCGAGGUCGGAUUAGCUAGUUGGCGGGGUAAAGGCCCACCAAGGCGACGAUCAGUAGCUGAUCUGAGAGGAUGAUCAGCCACACUGGAACUGAGACACGGUCCAGACUCCUACGGGAGGCAGCAGUAGGGAAUAUUGGACAAUGGGCGCAAGCCUGAUGCAGCCAUACCGCGUGGGUGAAGAAGGCCUUCGGGUUGUAAAGCCCUUUUGUUGGGAAAGAAAAGCAGCAGGUUAAUACCCCGCUGUUCUGACGGUACCCAAAGAAUAAGCACCGGCUAACUUCGUG
rnacentral:rRNA from 1 species